rnacentral:lncRNA from 1 species
AUUAGGUACUUGUUAAAUACAAAAAUAUGUUUUUAUUUCCUCUGAUUAGAGAGUGAAAAGUUACCGUGUAAACAGGUUUCCAGGUACUUGGCUAAUGAUCACAAAAAUAUCUCUAUCUGCUUCUUAUAACAGACUCCUUUAUUUUUUCCUUUCAUUUGUGCAGGACGAAUGCUUCAGACAGAGGUCCUGGAAGGGAGAGGCCCCAGGGGAUCCUGGUCUGUCAGUCAGUCCAGGGUCAGGAACAGGGAACUCAUCUUGCUGCUGCUAUUGACUGGCUGUGUGACCUUGUGCAAACCACAGAUCCUCUGUGGGCCUCACUGUCUCGCCUUUUACUCCAUCUCAUUGAAAAAUAGUGAUGUGUGCUGCUGA